rnacentral:rRNA from 1 species
GACGAACGCUGGCGGCGUGCUUAACACAUGCAAGUCGAACGGAAAGGCCCUGCUUUUGUGGGGUGCUCGAGUGGCGGACGGGUGAGUAACACGUGAGUAACCUGCCCUUGACUUUGGGAUAACUUCAGGAAACUGGGGCUAAUACCGGAUAGGAGCUCCUGCUGCAUGGUGGGUGUUGGAAAGUUUCGGCGGUUGGGGAUGGACUCGCGGCUUAUCAGCUUGUUGGUGGGGUAGUGGCUUACCAAGGCUUUGACGGGUAGCCGGCCUGAGAGGGUGACCGGCCACAUGGGGACUGAGAUACGGCCCAGACUCCUACGGGAGGCAGCAGUGGGGAAUAUUGCACAAUGGGCGGAAGCCUGAUGCAGAAACGCCGCGUGCGGGAUGACGGCCUUCGGGUUGUAAACCGCUGUAGCCUGUGACGAAGCGUGAGUGACGGUAAUGGGUAAAGAAGCACCGGCUAACUACGUG